rnacentral:rRNA from 1 species
UACGUAGGUGGCAAGCGUUGUCCGGAUUUACUGGGCGUAAAGAGCGCGCAGGCGGCUGGUCAAGUCCGAUGUGAAAUCUCCCGGCUUAACUGGGAAACUGCAUCGGAAACUGAUCGGCUUGAAGGUGGGAGAGGGUAGUGGAAUUCCCGGUGUAGUGGUGAAAUGCGUAGAUAUCGGGAGGAAUACCAGUGGCGAAGGCGCUGGGCUGGACGGCGAUUGACGCUGAGGUGCGAAAGCGUGGGGAGCAAACAGG